UACGUAGGGUGCAAGCGUUGUCCGGAAUUAUUGGGCGUAAAGAGCUCGUAGGCGGUCUGUCGCGUCUGCUGUGAAAACUCGGGGCUUAACCCCGGGCCUGCAGUGGGUACGGGCAGACUAGAGUCCGGUAGGGGAUCACGGAAUUCCUGGUGUAGCGGUGAAAUGCGCAGAUAUCAGGAGGAACACCGAUGGCGAAGGCAGUGAUCUGGGCCGGUACUGACGCUGAGGAGCGAAAGCGUGGGUAGCAAACAGG
rnacentral:rRNA from 1 species